rnacentral:rRNA from 1 species
UAUCCUACGGGGGGCAGCAGUGGGGAAUAUUGCACAAUGGGGGAAACCCUGAUGCAGCGACGCCGCGUGAGUGAAGAAGUAUUUCGGUAUGUAAAGCUCUAUCAGCAGGGAAGAAAAUGACGGUACCUGACUAAGAAACCCCGGCUAACUACGUGCCAGCAGCCGCGGUAAUACGUAGGGGGCAAGCGUUAUCCGGAUUUACUGGGUGUAAAGGGAGCGUAGACGGCCAGACAAGUCAGGAGGGAAAACCCGCG